rnacentral:rRNA from 1 species
UACGGGGGGGGGCAAGCGUUGUUCGGAAUUACUGGGCGUAAAGGGCUCGUAGGCGGCCAACUAAGUCGGACGUGAAAUCCCUCGGCUUAACCGGGGAACUGCGUCCGAUACUGGAUGGCUUGAGUUCGGGAGAGGGAUGCGGAAUUCCAGGUGUAGCGGUGAAAUGCGUAGAUAUCUGGAGGAACACCGGUGGCGAAGGCGGCAUCCUGGACCGAUACUGACGCUGAGGAGCGAAAGCCAGGGGAGCAAACGGG